ensembl:lncRNA
CCUGAGUAAAUCUCCACGAUGUCCCCUGUAACUUCUCGCAGUAGCGAAUACAGGUUCAGAGUACGAAAUAAGCUUGAAUAGAAGCAAUAUUAGCCAGCGACUCUUUGCUGGUAGCCCUGCAAAUGCAUGGUUGGAGCCACAGAUUCGUCAUCCAAGGGCUGCGAUUAGUCACGCACGGCUAUGUUAUGAACGCCGCAUACCGGUGUUUUCGCCGGUGAGCUCGGCUCAAAUAACGCUAGGCUAACGCAGCGUCUUCACCAGCUAUAGCGACUGCUAAGCACAGAUGGAGCUGCGUCACCCCCUCGCGAUUUGAAGGCCAGACAGACACAAUCCCAUGAAGCCCACCACCGAAAGGUCAGGGGUCAACCACACAAUGUCUCGGCCCAAAGAUCAGGGUCUUUGGUGGCACGUUGGUGAUGUCCAAACAUCCAGUCUGUCAUCUGAGACUGCAGGCAAUGGAAGUCCUUGGGGCAUGCCCGGACACGGCAAAGGACACUGCGAGAUGCUUUUGGACAUGAUGAGGGUCAGAACCAAUAGGUGUGACCGGAGUGAGGCGCCCCCGUCAAACGUGAGAACUCCAAGAAUUGUUUGUCUUGAAGAAGGAGGAGCUACAUGUAACCGUGCGGCUGGUGAAACCAACUCAAACUCUUGUGUUUAGCAUUUCAGGUGGCAGAGCUAAUUAUAACUCUCUGUUGUUAGCAGGUGGGCAAUCAAACCAGUUUUGACCCCCAGUAUAUAUAUAUAUGGUCAGUAUAUUUGAUUGUAAGAGCUGAGGCUGCCCGAGUUGUGCCUCUGCACUUAAAGUUAACAUAUUAUACCACCAGGUGCGAGUAUGAUUAGCCGUUACAAGCCGUUUUGAAAAUGUGCCUCUUCUGACAUCACAAGUGGGCGUGUCCACCUAGAUGUAUGACGGAUAGAUGAGCAACGGCUUG